AAUUCUUCUCUGGAUAAAAGCUAGAAAAACCAAACACCACAUCUGAAACUUCCAGGCAUCACGGAAACAUCAAGAGAGAGCUUCUCUGGAGGACAGACUAAAGGAAAUCAUUUAAGAAAAGGGAAAAUGGUCCUUAAAGGAAGCAUGGAAAUUCACAACAGAAAGGCUGAUCCAAUUGCUAAUUGAUUCCAGGGUGUCCCCAUCAGCCAUGAGGAACAGCAGGAGCAGUACAUGAAAUGGUGUAGCUGGUGUAGCUGGAAUAUUGGCUGAAUCUUGAGGAUUGACAAGAGGGCUUGUGGGAUAUUCUGGUGGAGAUGGCCAGGAGCAGCUGGAUAUUUAGGCCUGGGGCUCCAGUGAGAAGCCUAAUCUGGAGAGAGAAACACAAGAGCCAUCAGAAUCUAGGACAUUGACAACAGAACCAUGGGAGUAGAUGAGAUUCCCCAGAGGACAAGACUUAAGGCAGUUAAUUCUCAACAAGGUAAGCAUGGGGUGGCAUAUGUCCCUGGGAGGGUUUGGAGUCACCAGAGGGGCUUUACCAAAGCACCAACCUUCAGUUUCAGUAAAUACCCUAGGAAGUGUGACCAAGGGAAACUCUUGUUGAUGAGGAUGUGACCUGGGGUAAGAAGAAAUUUGAGACCCUUGGUAAGAAGAAAAUAGAGUCAAGGUGGGCACAGACAGCAAAGGAAAAAAGGAGCCAGAGAGGAAGAGAGGUUUGAGAAGAUCCGAGAGAAUGUGGUGCCCCAGAGAAUGUGGUGCCCCAGAUAGUCAUUCUCAACUAUGAAUGUGCACCACGAGCACUUAUGACACGGAUUCUUGCCCUUCACUGUUCUGAUGCCAUGGGGCCCUAGAAUCCACAUCAUAAAGAGUUCUGCAGGCACUAUUUCUGAAGUAGAGAAUUUCACGAAGACAGGUGUGGUGGACGGGCUUACACCCCCAGAAGGGAUGGGUCCAGCAAGAUAAAGAUCUGUUGGAUUCCACUCUUCAGGAGGUCACCGGUAACCAUGGAAGAGGUAAUUUUGGUGGUGGCAGCGUGGGUGUAGAAGCCAGAUUGCAGUGGGCUGAAGACCGAAUAGGAGGUGAGAAACAGAAGACGGCAAACGUAGACCCCUUUUAGAAGUUUGGAUGAGAGGCGGAGGCGAGAGCUUCAGCCCCCUCAAAGGCCAACUUCCAUCUCCUGGAGAAACUUGGCAAAGAGGAUUAGGGAAAUCUGGAGGCUGAGUCAGACAUUCCAUGGACCUUAAGAACGCACCAGGAAGGCAAUUUGGGAAUCGGCAAGGGCCGAGCAUACCUCAAGCUGCCAAAUCACAGAACCAAACCCACUGUGCCCUCCUUCCGUCUACCCACUCCAAGUGAGUUCCACCACAUUCACCGCCCAAGUGAUCGUUUCGUGAUUCAUAUCUAUCUUUCAAGUAGGGCACCUACUUGAAACUUCCCAACAGCUACUUUCCCCACUCUCACCCAAGAGAAGACCAGGGAACACUCCCAGGGACUACCCAAGUCCCUGACCUUGGCAUUCAAACCCCUUCUGACUCUGGUGAUCACUUCUUCCCUCUGCAUCUUCACCCCCACCUUCUUCACUGUCAUCUCCCACUGUACCACAUUCACCAUGAACCCAGGCUUCAUGGAAUCACUGGCAGUUCCCCAGUGAACUGUGCUCUCCCGCCCUCAUUAGCCUACUAGUCAGCUUAGACACAGAAAACUCAAGUACCACCUCCUCUGAGAGUUAGUUACUCCCUCCUUGGAGAGAACCAGCACCUUGCGCACACCUGUACCAGAAUACAGAUUUAAAAAAGUCUUAUCAAUUUGUACACAGCUGCCCCUCACUGGAUUGUGUCUUCUCUGGAACCAAGAACCUCAUCUUACUCUUCUUUGAAUGACCAGCAUCUGGCCAGGACUGAGUUCCCAGAAAGUGCCAGUAAUGGGGCACCUGGGUUGCUCAGUGGGUUAAAGCCUCUGCCUUCAGCUUGGGUCUGAUCUCAGGGUCCUGGGAUAGAGCCCCGCAUGGAGCUCUCUGCUCUGCGGGGAGCCUGCUUCCCUUCCUCUCUCUCUGCCUACUUGUGAUCUCUGUCUGUCAAAUAAAUAAAUAAAAUCUUAAAAAAA